rnacentral:lncRNA from 1 species
CGUUCUGCCUACCUUUGAAUUUGAGGUCUGUGGGCGGAUCGAGGACCAGGAUCUGCUCGUGCUUCGCCAUGGCCCCUGAGGCGGACGCCAUCGGAGAGACAGCGCAGAGCGGGGGCGCGCCCGCGGCGGCGGUUUGCUGACUGGGGGCGGGGGACGACGGCGGCGACGGCUCGGCCGAGCUCUAGGACGAGGCCAGGCUCGCGGCUCCCGAGCCCUAACGCCUGCCGCUGUGUCACCGGUUCGGUGGGCCACCCGCUGGGUCAGCAGCUCCGGGUCCCACAACUGACUCAACCCCACACCAGCCGCCACGGCCACGCGCACUUGCGAGCCUCGGCGACCCACGUGACGGCCUCUGCGUGCCUACGUGCGCGCCCCCGGCCGGGAGCUUCUAGCGCUUGUCCCGCCCUCCAGGCCGGCCUAGCGCGGCGCGGGGCUGCUGCGCCUGCGCGCUCGCGGCUUGCCGCGGCCCGGAGCGCAGCCCAGCUGUCAAGGGAACGGGUGUGGAAGGAGGCGGGGCAAAGGUCCGCGGGACCGACGCGAUGCGCAGCGCAGGGCUGGAAGCGCAGUCCUCUGUCACCUUGAGCUCCGAGGCUGCAUUCCCCGUGGUAUCCAAUUCAGCCUCUCCUGCUUCCUGAGUUCUCUCCAGUGAUGCAAAAUCAGAUAAGGAAACACACCUCGUCUAGGAAGCAAGGGGAAAUAUGACAAAGCACACAGAAACUAGAAAUAAAAGUCAAAAAUCUACACCAUCGAACCCAAAUAAUCUUCUUCAGUUUUAAUGAUGGACCCAAACCAAAACAGUUCUCACGUUCACAUGUUAGAAACUAACUCCAUCUGCAUCACUUACGAUAGGCUGUAGUAAACUGAACCAAAUAAGAAAAAUCCCAGCAGCAAACUUGCUGACAAAACUUUAGCCGAUUGCCAGGGUAGUCCGGUACAGGAACGUCAAAUGAAACCAAUGUGCUGUAAAUAAACCUUUAUUGUAUUUUGUGAUACGGUUUGAAUUUAAAUCCCUAGGUAGCGCCACGAAACAAAAGACAUAUUGAUGCUACUGCCAUGGAGCAGCACAGUUUGUCUAGAAAAUAAACGAGACGAAACAGCAGUCUAGAAGUAGGCACCAAAUCCAAGUUUUCAUGUGCGAUCCAGGUAUUAGGGUCCAUCCAGGAACAGCCUGCUGGAAUUGCUAGCCUGGCAUUCACAGAAGAUUGUGCCACCCACGAGGAAUGUGUUUUCAGCCCUGAAAUUCCUGGGAGUGAGAGGUGAAGCCAGCUGGAUUUCUGGGUUGGGUGGGGACUUGGAGAACUUUUCUUACAAGAGGAUUGUAAAAUGCACCAAUCAGCACUCUGUAGCUAGCUAGAGUUUUGUAAAAUGCACCAAUCAGUGCUCUGUAAAAACGCACCUAUCAGCACUCUGUAGGUAGCUAGAGGUUUGUAAAAUGGACCAAUCAGCACUCUGUAAAAUGGACCAAUCAGCAGGGCAUGGGCAGGGACAAAUAAGCCAAUAAAAACUGGCCACCCCAGCCUGCAGGGGCAGCCUGCUUGGGUCCUUUUCCACAUUGUGGAAGCUUUGUUCUUUUGCUCUUCACAAU